AGAACGAACGCUGGCGGCAGGCUUAACACAUGCAAGUCGAACGGUUGUAGCAAUACAGCAGUGGCAGACGGGUGAGUAACACGUGGGAACCUUCCUAGGGGUACGGAACAACUCAGGGAAACUUGAGCUAAUACCGUAUACGUCCGUAAGGAGAAAGAUUUAUCGCCCUUAGACGGGCCCGCGUCGGAUUAGCUAGUUGGUGGGGUAACGGCCUACCAAGGCGACGAUCCGUAGCUGAUCUUAGAGGAUGAUCAGUCCACACUGGGACUGAGACACGGCCCAGACUCCUACGGGAGGCAGCAGUGGGGAAUCUUGGACAAUGGGCGCAAGCCUGAUCCAGCCAUGCCGCGUGAGUGAAGAAGGUCUUCGGAUUGUAAAGCUCUUUUACCAGGGACGAUAAUGACGGUACCUGGAGAAUAAGCCCGCAAACUCGUGCCAGCAGCCGC
rnacentral:rRNA from 1 species